rnacentral:lncRNA from 1 species
UCAUUUUCACCAUGGUAUCAACAUUAUACCACUCAGCAAACACAAUUAGACCCAGUCCUGUAUUGAUGACAUCAUAUCUGAGUUUUUCAAUUUCUUCUGGAAAGUAUUCAUCUUCAAGGUCAACCAUCAAAAGAGUUCCAUAUUGCUGAGCAUCGAAACAUGUAAGGGGAGAACCAAGAGUCUCGAUAUAGUACCCAGCAUCACGUAACAUGUUGAACAUGAUGUGAAAGUUUGUAUGCAGGUGAUCACCAUGCCAAUCAAGAAUGUCAUUGCGGACAUCCAGAGAGUCUCUUGGAAUAUACCCUGGAGGAUACUUAAUGCUGUGAAAUUGAUCCCACAAUAUACGUUUCGCUCGUGGUGGGUCAGUAAGAAGCAAAGAAAAGCUGUUUCUCAUUACCUUCGAGGACCCUGUUAGCAGCAGAUUCUGUGUGGCACCACUCUCAGAGCUGUCCAGUAAAGGAAAACUGUGCAUAAACCCACCAGCAGGAAACCUGACAAUGUUCGUUCCAGAAGCAUAUCGACUCUGCUCACCGUCAAUACUGAAAUCCCCAUUCAGAAUCUUGUCUCCAAACGCAAUUCCAAAUGACGCAAGAAGAUUAUUCAGUGCGGGAAUAUUUGCACCUCCGGUGACUGGAGUCCACCAACUGCGUGUGUUAUCGUCGAAGAACCUCAUUUUCACCAUGGUAUCAACAUUAUACCACUCAGCAAACACAAUUAGACCCAGUCCUGUAUUGAUGACAUCAUAUCUGAGUUUUUCAAUUUCUUCUGGAAAGUAUUCAUCUUCAAGGUCAACCAUCAAAAGAGUUCCAUAUUGCUGAGCAUCGAAACAUGUAAGGGGAGAACCAAGAGUCUCGAUAUAGUACCCAGCAUCACGUAACAUGUUGAACAUGAUGUGAAAGUUUGUA